UACGGAGGGUGCAAGCGUUAAUCGGAAUUACUGGGCGUAAAGAGUGCGUAGGCGGUUUGAUAAGCGGAGUGUGAAAUCCCCGGGCUUAACCUGGGAAUGGCAUUUGGGACUGCAAGGCUGGAGUGCGGCAGAGGAGACUGGAAUUCCUGGUGUAGCAGUGAAAUGCGUAGAUAUCAGGAGGAACACCGAUGGCGAAGGCAGGUCUCUGGGCUGACACUGACGCUCAUGCACGAAAGCGUGGGGAGCAAACAGG
rnacentral:rRNA from 1 species